rnacentral:rRNA from 1 species
UGGGGAAUCUUCCGCAAUGGACGAAAGUCUGACGGAGCAACGCCGCGUGAGUGAAGAAGGUUUUCGGAUCGUAAAACUCUGUCUUUUGGGGCGAACGUGAGUAUGGUGAACAAUCAUAGUCAGUGACGGUACCAAAGGAGGAAGCCACGGCUAACUACGUGCCAGCAGCCGCGGUAAUACGUAGGUGGCAAGCGUUGUCCGGAAUUAUUGGGCGUAAAGAGCGCGUAGGCGGGAUAGUCAGUCUGUUGUAAAAGUGCGGGGCUCAACCCCGUGAUGGCAAUGGAAACAGCUAUUCUUGAGUGCAGGAGAGGAAAGUGGAAUUCCCAGUGUAGCGGUGAAAUGCGUAGAUAUUGGGAGGAACACCAGUGGCGAAGGCGACUUUCUGGACUGUGUCUGACGCUGAGGCGCGAAAGCCAGGGGAGCGAACGGGAUUAGAUACCCCGGUAGUCCUGGCCGUAAAACGAUGGGUACUAGGUGUGGGAGGUAUCGACCCCUUCCGUGCCGGAGUUAACGCAAUAAGUACCCCGCCUGGGGAGUACGGUCGCAAGACUGAAACUCAAAGGAAUUGAC